rnacentral:lncRNA from 1 species
GAAGGGAGCCCACGGUGGCACCAGGGAGCUGGGCCCAGCAGUGGAGGGUGAGGCUGCUGGGAUGAGGAGACAUCCACGGCCCCUGACAGCUGUGAUGUGUGAGUGCCCACGGACACAGCAGGAGGCAGCCCCUCAGCUCAGCCUGCGCCCUGGGGCAGGGCCCAUCCCUACAGGGACCACCACACACUGGGCAGCUCUACCCUCCAUUUGGGACUGAGCUCAGCUGGAGUCGGCUCCCUGUCGCACACACCACCCGAGGUGUCCUCUCGGGCCUUGGGGCAGUGUGGCCAGCAGGGAUCCUCGGGCCAGGAGGCCCCAGGCUCAGCCCAUGGCCCCUUGUUCAUGGACAAAUACCACCUUCUUCACCCCAAGCCCCAGGCCCCUCGGGACACCACCCCGCUUCCUCUCAAGGCCCUCCCCACUGCACCCCU